UACAGAGGGGGCAAGCGUUAUUCGGAAUUAUUGGGCGUAAAGGGCGCGUAGGCGGCAUGGCAAGUGGAUGGUGAAAUCCCUCGGCUUAACCGAGGAACUGCCGUCCAAACUGCUUCGCUUGAGACCGGGAGAGGUGAGUGGAAUUCCCAGUGUAGCGGUGAAAUGCGUAGAUAUUGGGAGGAACACCAGUGGCGAAGGCGGCUCACUGGACCGGUACUGACGCUGAUGCGCGAAAGCGUGGGGAGCAACGGGG
rnacentral:rRNA from 1 species